AGAAAUAGUAUUAGGUUGGUGCAAAAGUAAUUGUGGUUUUUGCCUUUGAAAGUAAUGGCAAAAACCAGAAUUACUUUUGCACCAAUCUAGUAGA
rnacentral:pre_miRNA from 1 species